CCUACGGGCGGCUGCAGUGGGGAAUAUUGGACGAUGGGGGGAACCCUGAUCCAGCCAUGCCGCGUGUGUGAAGAAGGCCCUCGGGUUGUAAAGCACUUUCAGUGAGGAAGAACGCCUGGUGGUUAAUACCCAUCAGGAAAGACAUCACUCACAGAAGAAGCACCGGCUAACUCCGUGCCAGCAGCCGCGGUAAUACGGAGGGUGCGAGCGUUAAUCGGAAUUACUGGGCGUAAAGCGCGCGUAGGUGGCUUGAUAAGCCGGUUGUGAAAGCCCCGGGCUCAACCUGGGAACGGCAUCCGGAACUGUCAAGCUAGAGUGCAGGAGAGGAAGGUAGAAUUCCCGGUGUAGCGGUGAAAUGCGUAGAGAUCGGGAGGAAUACCAGUGGCGAAGGCGGCCUUCUGGACUGACACUGACACUGAGGUGCGAAAGCGUGGGUAGCAAACGGGAUUAGAUACCCCGGUAGUC
rnacentral:rRNA from 1 species